UUGUCACUCAUGGAACACAAGUCUGUCUUUAAAGUUCUUUUGCUGGGAAAACAGAGCCAGGUCAGAUGUGUGCUCUUCUUGAACUUCAGUGGAAGUGAGGCUGUGGAAUAUCAAACAUGAUACGCUCAUUCUGGCGAUUACCUUGCAGUAAUGAAAGUUCAUAUCCACCUUGUUCUUUGUAAGAAUCACAAGAGCAGCCUUCCACAUGGCCAGCUACUCAACCCUCCCAAGCUACUUGACCCAAGCAAGAAUGAGAAGGAACAAAUAUCUCUGAAGUAUUGCCCCUUUCUGAAGUCCUCACAGUUGAAACCUUUGUGAUUCCACAAGAUUUUAGCAAAAGGUGUGAAAUGAAAAUAUCCAGACAAAUAAGUAUGACAACCAGAAAAGACUCCAUCACAGACCAGCCUUUUUUAAAGGUAUAGCAGGACAGUCAACACUUUUGGCCAGAGUGUCAAGAAAAAAGAAGUAUUCAGUGCCUAUAAAUGAGUUAGUACAGAUUUGUCUGCUUCAGCCUCAUAAUCCUUGCAUCUAACUGAUACUCAGUCUCUCCCCCUGUAUAAGGACAUUUAAGAUCUGUUGCUGAGUGCUUGCAUAUAUCUUUGUAUUCAGAAAAGGCAUUGCAGUACUUCCUAGCUCAUGUUUGGCUGUCAUGUGGAAAUAUUUCAGCUUCACUGAGCUAUUUUAUCUGUAUUCAUCAUUGUUUCAAAGUCUUUUUUCUCUUUGUUUGUUGAUCCUAUUAGCAUAUUUUUACAGCUGAAAACCAUCAAACAGUUACUAUAUGAAGGUCAGGGUAUGAUUAUUGUGCUGUAGACAUGGUCUCCUUCCUUAUUGAAUUGUGAUGUGCUGUUUGUCCUUGAUUUUGAAGUAUUAGCCAACUGGUAAUUUGGCAGUCCCUGUACUGCAUUUCUAAUCGGGUGAUAGUACAAUGGAUAUGUAGUGGGGGGGUUUUAUGGCCACUGAUACUAUUUUCAAGCUUCCCAGCAGCUACUAACUGAAGCUUUCUCUCUUGAGAAAGGACAUAAUUAUUCCACGUUGUGAGUAAAUACAGUUUUCAUUAAACAAAUAACAGCUUGGUCCUCCCCCUCACACCCCUGAGAAUAGAAACCUGGGAAGGGGUAUAACUGCAGCACCUCUGUAACAUUCCUAUAUGAGCUUUUGAAAAGCUUUACAACUGGUAAUCACAUCAGGAUUGUCAGAUUCCUGUUACACAUACAUC